rnacentral:rRNA from 1 species
UACGUAGGGGGCGAGCGUUGUCCGGAUUCAUUGGGCGUAAAGCGCGCGUAGGCGGCCCCGCAAGUCGGCCGUGAAAUCUCCCAGCUCAACUGGGAGGGGUCGGGCGAGACUGUGGAGCUCGAGGUGGGCAGAGGGCAGUGGAAUUCCGGGUGUAGUGGUGGAAUGCGUAGAGAUCCGGAGGAACACCAGUGGCGAAGGCGGCUGCCUGGGCCUGGCCUGACGCUGAGGCGCGAAAGCGUGGGGAGCAAUCCGG